rnacentral:lncRNA from 1 species
GGGUGGUAGAAGACUUGCAAUCAGGUCUACUUUGGCUUUGUCUACUUCAAUUCUUUUUUUUUAAACUACAUGGCUAAGAACUAUCUAUUCUCUAACCAUGAGUUGGCAUCUUUUUUAGUUGAGAACUAAGUGCUUCUCCUUACAUCUUUCUAGGACUAAUCUCAGAUGAUCUAAGUAUUUGGAGAAGGUAGGGCCAAAGAUAUA